rnacentral:lncRNA from 10 species
GCCAGAAAUGAUAAGGAUCAUUGUUUAUAUUCUCUGUAAAGUUUUAACUAUGAAAAAGGAUCUGUAAGGUUUGUCUUAAGCUGUAGCCAAUCUGGUGUGCUUUGCAUGACUUUCUGUAUAGUCAGCAGCAAACUUCGCUGCAGGCCUCCAUCUUGUUUUACAUCCUUGAGAGCAUGACCUGUAACCAUGUGGCAAUGUUUUGUUUAGCCCAUUUUACAAUGGCAGCUGGGUUCAAUCCUGGCUUAGGGAAUGUAUCCUUUCUGGUCUGAUGUCUGUGCAACCUUUGCUAUUUGUUGAUUCUCUUCCCCUCAUGAACCACUUUGGAUUUUCCUUUCUCUGAGCCUCUAGUAAAGUUUGAAAGCAAAUAAUAUGGCCGCUUGGUAUGUCUAAAGUCAGAUAACAAGGGAUUUAAAAGGAUUUUAGUAAAGAGCACUCAGGUUAAUUAAAAGUGGAUAUCUAAGUUAUCAGUAUAUUUAAAAGGCCUUUAUGUUUUUCUUUUCUUGGAUCUUGUUUUGCUGGAAAAAGGGUUUUUUCUCAGUCGACCGAAUUAUUUUUCUUCAUUUUGCCUUGUCACUCUCAAUGCAUGCAUGACAAGCCCCAAGAUAACUCCUGGGGGCAUGGGACUACUUGGGAAAAACAGAGAAGGCACCACUGACUCCAUUUUGGGAAGAAACUUGUUUUCCUCAUGGAACCCCAGGAAUUAAAAGUGGUUGGAUCCCUCUCAAAAUCUGUUUUUGCCCAACCUAUGCCUGUUUAUUAGGCCUUAGAAGCUGCAUGUUUUUCUAGCCCUGUCUCUUAAAGGGCUCCACCUGGAGGCCAAUAAUCCAAUUAGGAGAUUGGCAAAUGAAAAAUCUUAGGGCUGCUAAAAAUCCUUCUGCCUGUCUGUGUAGUUACAUAUGUGUGUGCAUGUGACAUCUAUAAAAAAGAGCUCUAAUUUACUUAAAGAAGGAUAAGCACUUGAAUCAAAUAUUUUGUAAAAGGGAGGAUAAAAGGUGUGGUACCUUUCAGUUUACAUGACUUUAAUCUUUGAGAAAUAAAAACAGUCUUAAAGAUUACUGGUAAAAUGCAGAUGUGAUCAAAAUGUAAAUAGGUGGACUAAAUUAUGCAGGUCAGAUACUAAGUUUGCUAAAUAUUUUAAGGUAAUAAACUGCUUUUUUGGUCUUUGAGAACUGUUUGACUUGCCUGUUUCACAACUGGUAAGCCCUGGGGACAUACGGAAUUAACCACAACCUUAAUUAUGCUGGAAGGAGUCAAAACUUGGCUGCACCUAGCACGUAAUUAAAACAUCUUAACAGGUUUUACAUUAAAGUUACAAAUUGCUAGGAGUUACCAUUAUAAUGUAAUUGAAACUACUGGAAAUAGAUUUACAUGAGAGGUGCAUAAGAACAGUAAAGUAAGUCUUUAGAAAAAGAUUAUAAGAAGGUGUGGAAAUGUAAAUUCUUGCCUAAGUUAAAGGAUUGCCUUGAAUUAGAUAAGCUAAAAGUUCAAACAAGUUGUGGAAGGACUGUAAAAAUUAAUCUUGCAAAAGAAAUUCCAUGUGGGAACAUAUUGACUAAAUUCACAAAGGUAUUAUAUGGUUUUUCUAUAAAUUGAGCAUUGAAAUAAAAGCACAACAAAGUCCUCUUAAGACACUAAUCUCUAGCAAAAUUUGUAAAGGGUUAUAAAAAGUUUUUGCUUUUUCAAAAUUUCUGAGUCAUCAUUUUGGCAAAAUAAAUAACUUACAGUAAUCUGGAAUUCUGUUUCAUAACAUCAAGUGUUUUAAACCUCUAACGUAUUUAACAGGCUCCCCAAAAUAAUCAAACUUCAGUUUCAAAAUAGUCUUUCCUGAUGCUUGGAUUUUGGAUGUGAAAAGGGCCCCCGGAGUAUCCAAAAGAGAGGUAAACAGGAUUAUUUGACAUGUUUAGGUACAUGGGAUUGUCAAAAUGAUAUUCAAUCUUCUUUAGGUUAUAUUUUAGUGAAUACUACUACUAUAUGUUCCAAAAUUACUUGGGAUUUCUAAAAUUCUAAUGUCUGAAGUAUAUGCUAUCAAUCAUAAUUAAGGGGGUUAUGUCUUUGUCAAUUAUGUUUCUAACUGUAACUACUCUGGACAUUUUGUUAUCAUAGACAAUUGUUGUCUUGUUUGGAUCCUCUUCAAAAGAUCGUUUAUAAUCAGCUGUAUAUCUUUGACAGGUGCUCUCAAAUACAGGUUUCUAAUAACUUUGGAGAUUGUGACACUGGGAUAAAGGAAAAAUGUACAGGAGUCAUGAAGAGCUGAAAUGUUCAUGAAUAUCAAGCAAAACAAGAGUUAACUGAAUGGAGUGAACUAGUAGAAAACUGAAGUAAUCUUUUUGACUUUUGCUUGGAAUAUUGCUGGUCCUUGUUUUUUUUUGUUUGUUUUUCAGAGUCAAGGAAACUUAUUUUGAGCUAUUUAUAGCCUUUAAUAAUUGAGUAAGGUAUACUCCUGUGAACAAAAUUUGGAGCAUAUUUGUCUCUCUCUCUCUGCCUGGCUUCUCCAGAAUUUGGGAACUACUUAGAUCGAAAAUAAUCAAAAGGAAAAAAUGAUGGAAAAAUGGAAUUCUCAGUUCAUUUGAAGAAUACAGAUUAGCAAUUAAAAAAUACAGCAGUAUCU